rnacentral:rRNA from 1 species
GUACACUCCUGCGGGAGGCAGCAGUGGGGAAUAUUGCACAAUGGGCGCAAGCCUGAUGCAGCCAUGCCGCGUGUAUGAAGAAGGCCUUCGGGUUGUAAAGUACUUUCAGCGGGGAGGAAGGCGAUAAGGUUAAUAACCUUGUCGAUUGACGUUACCCGCAGAAGAAGCACCGGCUAACUCCGUGCCAGCAGCCGCGGUAAUACGGAGGGUGCAAGCGUUAAUCGGAAUUACUGGGCGUAAAGCGCACGCAGGCGGUCUGUCAAGUCGGAUGUGAAAUCCCCGGGCGCAACCUGGGAACUGCAUUCGAAACUGGCAGGCUAGAGUCUUGUAGAGGGGGGUAGAAUUCCAGGUGUAGCGGUGAAAUGCGUAGAGAUCUGGAGGAAUACCGGUGGCGAAGGCGGCCCCCUGGACAAAGACUGACGCUCAGGUGCGAAAGCGUGGGGAGCAAACAGGAUUAGAUACCCCAGUAGUCCCAUG